AUUGAACGCUGGCGGCAUGCUUUACACAUGCAGGUCGAACGGUAACAGGCCGCAAGGUGCUGACGAGUGGCGAACGGGUGAGUAAUGCAUCGGAACGUGCCCAGUCGUGGGGGAUAACUACUCGAAAGAGUAGCUAAUACCGCAUACGAUCUAUGGAUGAAAGCGGGGGACCGUAAGGCCUCGCGCGAUUGGAGCGGCCGAUGUCAGAUUAGGUAGUUGGUGGGGUAAAGGCUCACCAAGCCAACGAUCUGUAGCUGGUCUGAGAGGACGACCAGCCACACUGGGACUGAGACACGGCCCAGACUCCUACGGGAGGCAGCAGUGGGGAAUUUUGGACAAUGGGCGCAAGCCUGAUCCAGCAAUGCCACGUGCAGGAAGAAGGCCUUCGGGUUGUAAACUGCUUUUGUACGGAACGAAACGGCUCUGGUUAAUACCCGGGGCUAAUGACGGUACCGUAAGAAUAAGCACCGGCUAACUACGUG
rnacentral:rRNA from 1 species